rnacentral:rRNA from 1 species
AUUGAACGCUGGCGGCAUGCCUUACACAUGCAAGUCGAACGGCAGCACGGGGGCAACCCUGGUGGCGAGUGGCGAACGGGUGAGUAACAUAUCGGAACAUACCCUAGAGUGGGGGAUAACGUAGCGAAAGUUACGCUAAUACCGCAUACGAUCUAAGGAUGAAAGUGGGGGAUCUUCGGACCUCAUGCUCAUGGAGUGGCCGAUAUCUGAUUAGCUAGUUGGUGAGGUAAAGGCUCACCAAGGCGACGAUCAGUAGCUGGUUUGAGAGAACGACCAGCCACACUGGAACUGAGACACGGUCCAGACUCCUACGGGAGGCAGCAGUGGGGAAUUUUGGACAAUGGGGGCAACCCUGAUCCAGCAAUGCCGCGUGAGUGAAGAAGGCCUCGGGUUGU